rnacentral:rRNA from 1 species
GACGAACGCUGGCGGCGUGCCUAAUACAUGCAAGUAGAACGCUGAAGGAGGAGCUUGCUUCUCUGGAUGAGUUGCGAACGGGUGAGUAACGCGUAGGUAACCUGCCUGGUAGCGGGGGAUAACUAUUGGAAACGAUAGCUAAUGCCGCAUAAUAGUAGAUGUUGCAUGACAUUUGCUUAAAAGGUGCAAUUGCAUCACUACCAGAUGGACCUGCGUUGUAUUAGCUAGUUGGUGAGGUAACGGCUCACCAAGGCAACGAUACAUAGCCGACCUGAGAGGGUGAUCGGCCACACUGGGACUGAGACACGGCCCAGACUCCUACGGGAGGCAGCAGUAGGGAAUCUUCGGCAAUGGACGGAAGUCUGACCGAGCAACGCCGCGUGAGUGAAGAAGGUUUUCGGAUCGUAAAGCUCUGUUGUAAGAGAAGAACGAGUGUGAGAGUGGAAAGUUCACACUGUGACGGUAUCUUACCAGAAAGGGACGGCUAACUACGUG